GACGAACGCUGGCGGCGUGCUUAACACAUGCAAGUCGAACGGAAAGGCCCUGCUUUUGUGGGGUGCUCGAGUGGCGAACGGGUGAGUAACACGUGAGUAACCUGCCCUUGACUUUGGGAUAACUUCAGGAAACUGGGGCUAAUACCGGAUAGGAGCUCCUGCUGCAUGGUGGGGGUUGGAAAGUUUCGGCGGUUGGGGAUGGACUCGCGGCUUAUCAGCUUGUUGGUGGGGUAGUGGCUUACCAAGGCUUUGACGGGUAGCCGGCCUGAGAGGGUGACCGGCCACAUUGGGACUGAGAUACGGCCCAGACUCCUACGGGAGGCAGCAGUGGGGAAUAUUGGACAAUGGGCGGAGGCCUGAUGCAGCAACGCCGCGUGCGGGAUGACGGCCUUCGGGUGGUAAACCGCUUUCGCCUGUGACGAAGCGUGAGUGACGGUAAUGGGUAAAGAAGCACCGGCAAACUACGU
rnacentral:rRNA from 1 species